GAGUGUGCUUUGCAGUUGUCACUUGCGUGCCCAAAGCAAAACUGUCAAAAAGCAUAUGACAAACAUUUGUCGUCGGCUGACAAAACCCAGAAAUGAGCCAGACAUACAUACAUAGGGAGACACCCGAGUUCUGUAUGCAUAUCAAACGAAAUUUAUUUUUCCGUGAAAAAACGAAAGAUAAAACGGAAUAAACGGAAAAUUGCUUUAAGGAAGUGCGUCCUGCGCCCUGUCGUUCUCCUUUGACCUCUCGUGCCGCGCUCCUUAGUCAUCCUCGCUGACAUCCAAAAUGGUCUUAAAGGCAAAAGGCUCAAAGGCGUAACCAGCGCCCUCGUAGAACUUGCUCAUGAACUCAACCCUGAAAGAGCAAAUCGCAGGUUAAAAUGCAUCUGAAUUGUGUCCUCAUUAUUCGCAACUCACCAGUGCAAACGCAGUGUGUGCAAGAAGGCCGAGAGUCCUUCGAUGAGCACCAGGAUACCGACUGUGAGCAACGCCCAGGCUCCAAAGAAUACGUAGAUGAGAAUGCCGCCAAUAUAGCUGUCGUACUUGAAUCCCAUGGAAAACACCAUGUUCCACAGUACUUCGGAGAGCUCUGUAAACAUGAAACAUAAUAUAUUAUUGAAAAUGAAUAAUAAUUAUAUAAAAGGAAAUCAAUACAACAAUACGUUUAAAAAUUUAAU
ensembl:ncRNA asRNA:CR44144 antisense RNA:CR44144